rnacentral:lncRNA from 1 species
UGUUAGUUGACGAUGCAAUCAGCAUGCUGAUUAAGGUUGCUUGGUUUUUUACUAAACAUUAACUGAAUGAAAACGGGUAGUGCUUGUUCUGCUUGGGGGGCUUUAAGGAAGCAAAUGGACUUUCAGAACAGAGAUUGUCAAUAAAGGGAUCAAAGCAUGGGCCUUGGAAGGAGGAGAAAGAAGAGGAGGUAGACCAGUCAUGAACUCCAGAACUCCUCUGAGAAUGCCUCUGUGGCAUUGCCAGCAGCCGAUGUAGAUGUAGUAUCUUUGAGGCAAGUCAACAGCAGCCAAGCACUGAGGAAGAUAAGUGAAUUUCUCAGUGCCGAUCUGUCUAUCUGGUGUCCCGUCCUUCACAGAUCUAGUCAAGACUAUUGCUAUGUUGGAAUGUUGAGAGAUGUCACAUCAAUUCAAAGAAAGGUUGAAAUAGAGUGUUUAUACAGGCAGCUGUUCAUAGAAAUCCCACAUGGAAUUCCUUAAAUAGGGGUGAUCACCGAUAGUUACAGGUGAGCUUCUCAAACCUUCCAUAAGUAAGGGUCAAUGUAGCAGCUGUCCCUUGGGGCCUGAAUUGGUGAUUUUAAGUGCCAAUUUGCCCACAUAUUUUAAGUGGGAAUUUUUUUUCCAAAACAGCAACAAAUAUAAAAACAAUCCAUAGGGUGAUAUGGUUUUCAUACGUUCUAAGGCUUAUUAAAUACUUUAAUUUGAUAUUGUCAUUCUCAACCUUUCAUUGUGGUAGUCUCUGGGUCUAAAAUCUCUUUUUCUACCUCUCAUUUCCCAAACCCACCAUUCUUACCUUUUGAAAUCCUACUCAGCUUUCAAGGGAGAGGGAUCUAAUGAUUUCACUGGUAUAAGAAUUUCCCUAGUGAUAUUCUUCCAGUGAAGGUUAUCUGCAAUUUAUAGUGUUAGAGCAAUAGUGUCAAAUUUACACAGAAAUAGAAGACACUAGUCCAUACAUAAGGAUCCAUGUGGACUUCAUAUUGAUUUAGUUUUAAAAUGAAUGUUAUCUGUUUUACUGUAUUUUUAUUUAUUUUGCUAAGUAUUUCCCAAUUGUAUUUUAAUCGGU